AGGAGUUUGGUGUAAUGGUCAGCAUAAUGGUCUCCAAAACCAUCGAUCUGGGUUCGAGUCCCAGGAUUCCUG
rnacentral:tRNA from 1 species